rnacentral:rRNA from 1 species
GACGAACGCUGGCGGCGUGCCUAAUACAUGCAAGUCGAACGAACCGCGACUAGGUGCUUGCACUUGGUCAAGGUGAGUGGCGAACGGGUGAGUAACACGUGGGUAACCUACCUCAUAGUGGGGGAUAACAGUCGGAAACGACUGCUAAUACCGCAUAGGACAUAGGAUCACAUGAUUCUGUGAGGAAAGGUGGCGCAAGCUAUCGCUAAGAGAUGGACCCGCGGUGCAUUAGCUAGUUGGUAGAGUAAAGGCCUACCAAGGCGAUGAUGCAUAGCCGACCUGAGAGGGUGAUCGGCCACAUUGGGACUGAGACACGGCCCAAACUCCUACGGGAGGCAGCAGUAGGGAAUCUUCCGCAAUGGACGCAAGUCUGACGGAGCAACGCCGCGUGAGUGAAGAAGGUCUUCGGAUCGUAAAGCUCUGUUGUUAGAGAAGAACAGCGCAUAGAGUAACUGUUAUGCGUGUGACGGUAUCUAACCAGAAAGCCACGGCUAACUACGUG